rnacentral:rRNA from 1 species
UGCCAGACUCCUACGGGAGGCAGCAGUGAGGAAUAUUGGUCAAUGGGCGCGAGCCUGAACCAGCCAAGUCGCGUGAGGGAAGACGGUCCUAUGGAUUGUAAACCUCUUUUGUCGGGGAGCAAAAGACGCCACGCGUGGCGUUCCGAGAGUACCCGAAGAAAAAGCAUCGGCUAACUCCGUGCCAGCAGCCGCGGUAAUACGUAGGGGGCAAGCGUUAUCCGGAUUUACUGGGUGUAAAGGGAGCGUAGACGGCUGUGCAAGUCUGAAGUGAAAGCCCGUGGCUCAACCGCGGAACUGCUUUGGAAACUGUAUAGCUUGAGUACUGGAGAGGCAGGCGGAAUUCCUAGUGUAGCGGUGAAAUGCGUAGAUAUUAGGAGGAACACCAGUGGCGAAGGCGGCCUGCUGGACAGAAGCUGACGUUGAGGCUCGAAAGCGUGGGGAGCAAACAGGAUUAGAUACCCUAGUA